CCUACGGGUGGCAGCAGUGAGGAAUAUUGGUCAAUGGGCGCAAGCCUGAACCAGCCAAGUCGCGUGAGGGAAGACGGCCCUACGGGUUGUAAACCUCUUUUGCCGGGGAGCAAACCUGAGCACGUGUGCCCAUGCGGAGAGUACCCGGAGAAAAAGCAUCGGCUAACUCCGUGCCAGCAGCCGCGGUAAUACGGAGGAUGCGAGCGUUUUCCGGAUUUUUUGGGUUUAAAGGGUGCUCAGGCGGUGGUUCAAGUCAGCGGUAAAAUUUCGGGGCUCAACCCCGUACUGCCGUUGAUACUGGAUGCCUUGAGUGCGCGAGAAGUAUGCGGAAUGCGUGGUGUAGCGGUGAAAUGCAUAGAUAGCACGAAGAACUCUGAUUGCGAAGGCAGCAUACCGGCGCUCAACUGACGCUCAUGCACGAAAGUGUGGGUAUCGAACAGGAUUAGAUACCCGUGUAGUC
rnacentral:rRNA from 1 species